rnacentral:rRNA from 1 species
AUGAACGCUGGCGGCGUGCCUAAUACAUGCAAGUCGAGCGAACAGACGAGGAGCUUGCUCCUCUGACGUUAGCGGCGGACGGGUGAGUAACACGUGGAUAACCUACCUAUAAGACUGGGAUAACUUCGGGAAACCGGAGCUAAUACCGGAUAAUAUAUUGAACCGCAUGGUUCAAUAGUGAAAGACGGUUUUGCUGCCACUUAUAGAUGGAUCCGCGCCGCAUUAGCUAGUUGGUAAGGUAACGGCUUACCAAGGCGACGAUGCGUAGCCGACCUGAGAGGGUGAUCGGCCACACUGGAACUGAGACACGGUCCAGGCUCCUACGGGAGGCAGCAGUAGGGAAUCUUCCGCAAUGGGCGAAAGCCUGACGGAGCAACGCCGCGUGAGUGAUGAAGGUCUUCGGAUCGUAAAACUCUGUUAUUAGGGAAGAACAAAUGUGUAAGUAACUAUGCACGUCUUGACGGUACCUAAUCAGAAAGCCACGGCUAACUACGUG